GACGAACGCUGGCGGCGUGCCUAAUACAUGCAAGUCGAACGCAGUGGGGACGGGUGAGUAACACGUGGGUAACCUCCCAUCAGAGGGGAUAACACUUGGAUACAGGUGCUAAACCGAUAUUGAUGUAUGGACCCGCGGUGCAUGAGUCAGUUGGUGAGGUAACGGCUCACCCAGGGCACGAUGCAUAGACGAGCGAAGAGGGGUAUCGGCCACACGGGGACUGAGAAAAGGACCAAACUACGACGGGAGGCAGCAGUAGGGAAUCUUCGGAAAUGGACGAAAGGGUGACCGGGCAACGCGGCGUAAGUGAAGAGGGUUUACGGAUCGUAAAACACUGUUGUUAGAGAAGCGGUAUCUAACCAGAAAGCAACGGCUAACUACGUGCCAGCAGCCGCGGUAAUAC
rnacentral:rRNA from 1 species